CAGUGCAGUGGUUUGUGGAAUCCUACAUACAUGAAGGCUGAUGCAGCAGGGGUUUGACAAUGCUCAGUGGUGCCUUUGGUUAUUUCUUUGCACUGAACAACAGUGAAAAACCUUUCACAACUGGAAUCCUUUAUGUGUUUGAGCUUCACCUUCUGAAUAUUUUAUUGUGAUUAAAGCUACUGUAAUUUUCUUCUUUUCCAGAGCUCUCUGGGGUGGAAUUUGUGCAACUCCACACCAAAAAAAUGUGAUGAUACAGAACACUUAUUUUGCAUUUCCAUGGUGGCACAUCCAGUGUGAUGACACAUAUUUUUAAGGGAAGAGGCCUAGAUGAGGAUUAAAGAUCUUGGGAUGUCCAAAGCUGUUAUAAAUGCAUAAGGGGGAAGUGGGAAAAAGGAUGAACUCCCAGGUGAGCCCAGACACAGCCAUAUGUGGAGGAGUGUCAUUACCAUCCUGUUGGGAGACAGGCAGCAAUGCCUGAUGCAGCCCCUUUUUUUGCUUCACUGAAGAAGCUCUGUGAAAAAAAUUUGGGGAGCCAUGUCCAUUGAU
rnacentral:lncRNA from 1 species